AAGACCUUACUUCACAGGAUCAUUUCUGUAGUAAGCGUCACAAGAUACCCUUACAACAUCUCAACGGAGUUGAACCACGAUGAUGAGUUCCCCUUCUUCCCGGAGCAGGAAAACGACUAUGAAAUGGCGGUAGCCUUUUCUGGUCAUUGUUGACUGUAUAGGCUGCAGCCUAGGGAAGAAGGGUUACUGAGUGGU
rnacentral:snoRNA from 1 species